rnacentral:rRNA from 1 species
GAUGAACCCUUUUUAGGGGCUUAACACAUGCAAGUCGAGGGGCAGCAUGGGCUUUUCUUGCUAAGGCCGAUGGCGACCGGCGCACGGGUGAGUAACACGUAUCCAACCUGCCGUCUACUCUUGGACAGCCUUCUGAAAGGAAGAUUAAUACAAGAUGGCAUCAUGAGUCCGCAUGUUCACAUGAUUAAAGGUAUUCCGGUAGACGAUGGGGAUGCGUUCCAUUAGAUAGUAGGCGGGGUAACGGCCCACCUAGUCUUCGAUGGAUAGGGGUUCUGAGAGGAAGGUCCCCCACAUUGGAACUGAGACACGGUCCAAACUCCUACGGGAGGCAGCAGUGAGGAAUAUUGGUCAAUGGGCGAGAGCCUGAACCAGCCAAGUAGCGUGAAGGAUGACUGCCCUAUGGGUUGUAAACUUCUUUUAUAAAGGAAUAAAGUCGGGUAUGGAUACCCGUUUGCAUGUACUUUAUGAAUAAGGAUCGGCUAACUCCGUGCCAGCAGCCGCGGUAAUACGGAGGAUCCGAGCGUUAUCCGGAUUUAUUGGGUUUAAAGGGAGCGUAGAUGGAUGUUUAAGUCAGUUGUGAAAGUUUGCGGCUCAACCGUAAAAUUGCAGUUGAUACUGGAUAUCUUGAGUGCAGUUGAGGCAGGCGGAAUUCGUGGUGUAGCGGUGAAAUGCUUAGAUAUCACGAAGAACUCCGAUUGCGAAGGCAGCCUGCUAAGCUGCAACUGACAUUGAGGCUCGAAAGUGUGGGUAUCAAACAGGAUUAGAUACCCUGGUAGUCCACACGGUAAACGAUGAAUACUCGCUGUUUGCGAUAUAUGGCAAGCGGCCAAGCGAAAGCGUUAAGUAUUCCACCUGGGGAGUACGCCGGCAACGGUGAAACUCAAAGGAAUUGACGGGGGCCCGCACAAGCGGAGGAACAUGUGGUUUAAUUCGAUGAUACGCGAGGAACCUUACCCGGGCUUAAAUUGCAGAUGAAUUACGGUGAAAGCCGUAAGCCGCAAGGCAUCUGUGAAGGUGCUGCAUGGUUGUCGUCAGCUCGUGCCGUGAGGCGUCGGCUUAAGUGCCAUAACGAGCGCAACCCUUGUUGUCAGUUACUAACAGGUUCUGCUGAGGACUCUGACAAGACUGCCAUCGUAAGAUGUGAGGAAGGUGGGGAUGACGUCAAAUCAGCACGGCCCUUACGUCCGGGGCUACACACGUGUUACAAUGGGGGGUACAGAGGGCCGCUACCACGCGAGUGGAUGCCAAUCCCAAAAACCUCUCUCAGUUCGGACUGGAGUCUGCAACCCGACUCCACGAAGCUGGAUUCGCUAGUAAUCGCGCAUCAGCCACGGCGCGGUGAAUACGUUCCCGGGCCUUGUACACACCGCCCGUCAAGCCAUGGGAGCCGGGGGUACCUGAAGUGCGUAACCGCGAGGAGCGCCCUAGGGUAAAACUGGUGACUGGGGCUAAAUC